rnacentral:tRNA from 1 species
GGGCGCGUAGCUCAGCUGGGAGAGCGCUGCGUUCGCAAUGCAGAGGUCGGGAGUUCGAUCCUCCCCGCGUCCACCA